UUCUACUUUUUUUUCUCAACCAAAUUUCUUUCUAACUUCCUUUCUCUAUUUCUGGAUUAAGAGCAGGUCUGAUACAUAACAAAUUGGUGUCAGAGCUUGGUUCUAAGUGGGCCUAAGCUGAAAAAGUGGUUCAUCUGAGUUGCACCCAAGCUAGGAUCAGGUUUCUUAAUGAUCUUCUCUCUCUCUUUCUCUCUCUUCUUCCUCCUUUCCCAUUCCACUUCACUCUCAGGAGGGAGCAAGGAAAAGAACAAAAAUGGAGAAGGAGAAGAAGAACCAACCGAAACCCACCAAAUAUGUUCGCAAUUUCUGUGUUUUUCUCUUCUCCUUCUUCACCAUUUGUAAAACUGGUGUUGCUUUUGAUUACGCUGACGCAUUAACCAAGAGCCUCCUUUACUUCGAAGCACAGCGCUCCGGUCGCUUACCUUACAACCAGCGCGUCACUUGGAGAGACCAUUCAGGCCUCACUGAUGGCUUAGAACAAGGAGUUAGUACAAAAAUUGCUCAGAAAUUUGAGUAUUCUGUUCGAAUUCUGAUACGGUAGCACUGAACUGCUGAUUCAAAUUGAAGAGACUCUGUUUUGUGUUUUUUUGUGUUGUGUUCUGUGGUGUAGGUGGACUUAGUUGGAGGAUAUUAUGAUGCAGGGGACCAUGUCAAAUUUGGGUUACCAAUGGCAUUCACUGUGACAAUGCUAUCGUGGAGUGUCAUCGAAUUCCGAGAUCAGAUCGCUCGCGCAGGAGAAUUAGAACACGCAUUAGAGGCUAUUAAAUGGGGGACUGACUAUUUCAUCAAAGCUCAUACUAGCCCUAAUGUGCUAUGGGCUGAGGUGGGUGAUGGUCACACUGACCAUUACUGCUGGCAACGGCCGGAGGACAUGACCACAUCCCGGCAAGCCUACAAGAUCGACGAGAACAAUCCUGGGUCGGAUCUCGCCGGAGAAACUGCAGCCGCAAUGGCCGCCGCAUCUAUAGUGUUUAAAAGAACAAACCCACAUUACGCUCACCUCCUCUUGCACCAUGCCCAACAGUUGUUUGAGUUUGGGGAUAAGUAUAGAGGAAAAUAUGAUGCAAGUGUGGAGGUGGUAAAGAGCUACUAUGCGUCGGUGAGUGGGUACAUGGAUGAGUUGUUGUGGGGAGCUAUGUGGCUCUACAAGGCGACCGACAAUGAGGAGUACUUGAGAUACGUUAUUAACAGAGCUGAAUGUUUUGGCGGGAUUGGUUGGGCCAUAACAGAGUUUAGUUGGGAUGUUAAAUAUGCUGGCCUUCAAAUUAUGGCUUCAAAGUUGCUCAUGGAUGAAAGACACAAGGAGCAUAGACACAUAUUAGAGCAAUAUAAAUCAAAGGCUGAGUACUACAUAUGCUCAUGCCUUGAUAAAAACAACAAUGGAAGCAAUGUGGAGCGAACUCCGGCGGGCCUUUUACACAUCCGGCAAUGGAAUAACAUGCAAUAUGUUUCUACAGCAUCAUUCCUUCUCACUAUGUACUCUGGUUACCUACGAGGCUCCAAUGGUAAGCUCCAGUGCCCUAAUGGAUUAUUGGAUCAUAAAGAGAUCCUCAGUUUUGCUAAAUCACAAGUUGAUUAUAUCCUAGGUUCUAACCCAAUGAACAUGAGUUAUUUAGUGGGAUAUGGUCCUAAAUACCCAACAAGGGUGCACCACAGAGGGGCCUCAAUAGUGUCAUAUAGAGAGAACAAGGGGUUCAUUGGUUGCACUCAAGGGUAUGAUAGUUGGUAUAGCAGGCGAGAGCAAAACCCCAAUGUUUUGGUUGGGGCAUUGGUUGGAGGACCUGAUUGCCAAGACAAUUUCAGUGACCAAAGAGGUAAUUACGUGCAAACAGAGGCCUGCACAUAUAAUACAGCACCAUUAGUAGGAGUUUUUGCAAAGUUGUUAGAAAUGGAGGAUCAAACGGGUGAUCAUGAUCAUAAUCAGCCUUUGAUUGCUUCUUAUUAGAAAUUAAAUUUUUAUUAAAAAAAAUUUGAAUAUAUAGUGUUGAAUAUUACACAAGAGUGGUGGUUUUUGGGCGUGGCUGAACUAAGAUGCUCAAGCCUCAUUCGUAAUUUGGGAAGCCAAAAAGAAUGGCCUCAAUUUGUAACUUAUAUUUUUAUUUUUCUGCUAGUGUUUAUAAUACCAUAUAUUAAGUUAAUCAUCAUUUCAUUUCCCAG
rnacentral:misc_RNA from 1 species